CGGCGGACGGGUGAGUAACGCGUGGAUAACCUGCCUCAUACAGGGGGAUAACAGUUAGAAAUGACUGCUAAUACCGCAUAAGCGCACAGGACCGCAUGGUCCGGUGUGAAAAACUCCGGUGGUAUGGGAUGGAUCCGCGUCUGAUUAGCUGGUUGGUGAGGUAACGGCCCACCAAGGCGACGAUCAGUAGCCGACCUGAGAGGGUGGCCGGCCACAUUGCGACUGAGACACGGCCCAAACUCCUACGGGAGGCAGCAG
rnacentral:rRNA from 1 species